rnacentral:rRNA from 1 species
GUCUUUUUGAAUUUAAUUUAAAGUCUAAUCUGCCCUAUGAAAAUUUUAAAUGGCCGCAGUAUCUUGACUGUGCAAAGGUAGCAUAAUAAUUUGUCUUAUAAUUUAAGGCUGGAAUGAAGGAUUGGACGAGGUAUAAACUGUCUCUAUUUAAUUAUAUAUUGAAUUUAAUUUUUAAGUUAAAAAGCUUAAAUUUAUUUAAAGGACGAGAAGACCCUAUAGAGUUUUAUAAUAAUUUUUAUAUUUAAUUUUAAAUAUAUUUUUGUAUUAAAAUUAUUAUUUUAUUGGGGCGAUAGAAAAAUUUAAUUAACUUUUUUAUAAUUUUUACAUUUAUUAAUGAAUUUAUGAUCCUAUAUUUUAGAUUAUUAGAAUAAAUUACCUUAGGGAUAACAGCGUUAUUUUUUUUAGAGUUCUUAUCGAUAAAAAAGAUUGCGACCUCGAUGUUGGAUUAAAAUUAAUUUUAGGUGAAGAAGCUUAAAUUUUAGGUCUGUUCGACCUUUAAAAUUUUACA